rnacentral:rRNA from 1 species
AUUGAACGCUGGCGGCAGGCCUAACACAUGCAAGUCGAACGAGGGGCGGACGGGGGAGAAAGGUCUGGGAACCUGCCCGAGGGAGGGGGAUAACUACUGGAAACGGUAGCUAAUACCGCAUACCAUCGGAGGUGCCCAGAGGGGAUUAGAUAGUAGGUGGGGUAACGGCUCACCUAGGCGACGAUCCCUAGCUGGUCUGAGAGGAUGGCCAGCCACACUGGAACUGAGACACGGUCCAGACUCCUACGGGAGGCAGCAGUGGGGAAUAUUGCACAAUGGGCGCAAGCCUGAUGCAGCCAUGCCGCGUGUAUGAAGAAGGCCUUCGGGUUGUAAAGUACUUUCAGCGAGGAGGCGUUACUCGCAGAAGAAGCACCGGCUAACUCCGUGCCAGCAGCCGCGGUAAUUC